UGUGUUUCUCAUGAACGAUAAAAUGACAGCUCAACAUAGUACUAUUGCAAGUUUUUAGAAUAGUACUACGCAGAGAGGUUUCGUACUGUACUACAAUUAAAUUGUAUCACAACGACUUUAUUUUUAGUUGUUUAUAAAUAGAAGAUUGUUUGUAAUCGUUGUAAGUGGUUGAAGAGCUAGUGAGUGGAAGGAAAUCAUUAGUGAAAUCAGCAAGGAGGUCACACAAUGGGCUAUUGCGUGUUCCUUUAAAAAAAAAAUCCAUCCUCUACAUUCAGAACUUCAAAGCACCAAAUAUGUGUGCAAUCAUGAUUACUCAACAAGUGAAUAUCAUGAUUAUAGGAUUUUCAUUAUAUAUCCUCUCUUUGGAGUUAGAAUACUAGACCAUGACUUUGUAUCACACUGAUACAAACUCAAACGUUAUGUAACCCGCCCAGUAGGCAACAUCUUGUCUUAAACAAGGAAGUCAUCAUCACUUGUGAUGCAGAAAAUUCUAUAUGAAGGUUCACUAGGUGGAAAUCCUUAAGUUUAAAGUAGAAAAUCUAGGAUACGGUCUUAUCAUAGUAAUUGUAACCGGGUUUGAUACUGUGUUGUAUUCUUCCUCUAUCUAUUUUUAGUUUUAUUUGUAUUCUUUAUGUUUUAACUUUUAUUCUAUUGUGUGUAUGUUAAUCAAAAGUUAAAUACUUUGAUAAAGAAUACAAUUAAAUUAUUAGUGAAAA
rnacentral:lncRNA from 1 species